rnacentral:rRNA from 1 species
CCUACGGGAGGCAGCAGUGGGGAAUAUUGGACAAUGGGGGCAACCCUGAUCCAGCCAUGCCGCGUGUGUGAAGAAGGCCCUCGGGUUGGAAAGCACUUUCAGUGAGGAAGAACGCCUGGUGGUUAAUACCCAUCAGGAAAGACAUCACUCACAGAAGAAGCACCGGCUAACUCCGUGCCAGCAGCCGCGGUAAUACGGAGGGUGCGAGCGUUAAUCGGAAUUACUGGGCGUAAAGCGCGCGUAGGUGGCUUGAUAAGCCGGUUGUGAAAGCCCCGGGCUCAACCUGGGAACGGCAUCCGGAACUGUCAAGCUAGAGUGCAGGAGAGGAAGGUAGAAUUCCCGGUGUAGCGGUGAAAUGCGUAGAGAUCGGGAGGAAUACCAGUGGCGAAGGCGGCCUUCUGGACUGACACUGACACUGAGGUGCGAAAGCGUGGGUAGCAAACAGGAUUAGAUACCCCAGUAGUC